UACGAAGGGGGCUAGCGUUGUUCGGAAUCACUGGGCGUAAAGCGCAUGCAGGCGGAUUGUUAAGUCGGGGGUGAAAUCCCGAGGCUCAACCUCGGAACUGCCUUCGAUACUGGCAAUCUUGAGUCCGGGAGAGGUGAGUGGAACUGCGAGUGUAGAGGUGAAAUUCGUAGAUAUUCGCAAGAACACCAGUGGCGAAGGCGGCUCACUGGCCCGGUACUGACGCUGAGGCUCGAAAGCGUGGGGAGCAAACGGG
rnacentral:rRNA from 1 species